ensembl:lncRNA
AGGUCCCAGGCUAGGGGUCAAAUCAAAGCUGUAGCUGCUGGCUUAUGCCACAGCCACAGCAAUGCCCGAUCCUUAACCCACUGAGCAAGGCCAGAGAGCGAACCAUCAUCUUCAUGGAUCCUAGUCAGGUUCAUUAACAACUGAGCCAUGAAAGGAAAUCCAGAUAAUGAAACAGAUCUAGCCCAAUAGUCUGUGCACAGGCUGAUACUGGGCUAGACUGUACAGCCUCUCCAGAUGUUGAUAGCCAGUGUCCAUCUGAUCGGUCAAUAUUUGUGCCUUCUAGGUUGUUAAACAGUUUUAAUGCCAUGCUUAAUUGGUACAAUAUCUCAAUUUUAGAGCAACAGGUAGGAUUCCCAAAAAAAGAGAUCACAGCUAUAUUAAAUUCUUUCUCCCUCUAAAAGGAGAAAAAUACUAAUUGAGCCAGCACAAGUCCACCUAGUUGGAUUGAUUCUGCCACUGCAUAAUACCUUGUUAAUUCACCAUGACAAUUUAUUCAUAUUUCUGUUGCACUGAAAUAGCUGAUGCUACAACUGAGAUUAUCUCCAUUCCUCGUGAGAUAGAUGGAGUCAUAUAAAACUGGGUUUGAAGCUCAGCUCCAUCAGGUUCUGUCUACGCGACCCUAAGAAAGACAUUUAACUUCCUUGAAGGCUAAAGCGUGAGGAGUUCCCAUUUUGGCUCAGUGGAUUAAGGAUGCAAUGCUGUCUUUUUGAGGAUGCAGGUUCUAUCCCUAGCUUCACUCUCUGGGUUAAGGAUCAGUCUUCCACAAGCUGAAGCAUAGGUCACAGAUGCAGCUUAGAUCUGGUGUUGCUGUGGUUGUGCCACAGGUCAGCAGCUGAAGCUCCAAUUCAACCCCUAGCCUGGGGACUGCCAUAUGCUGCAGAUGCAACCAUAAAAAAAAAAAGGCUGAAACUAGGUGCUCAAAGAAUACAAUCACUCCCUUUAAAUUUACUGAGAAAACUUAUCUUACAACUCUUCUCUUUUUGCUUAAUUUUCUUUAGAUUCUUCCACUUUAUCCACUUAUCAUUCAUUCUUUCAUUUAUUCAAAGUUACUAAGAGCAUGAACUUAGCACUGUGUCUCCUAAAUUAUCUCCCAGAUACCUCUGGAAUCCAUAGUGAAAAGUAGAAGUUAUGACUCCAAAUUGGCUUUCACCCUGAAAAAAAAUGGCUUGCCUUUGUUUUAAUGUGCCCCUCCAUGACCUCUGAUAAUUUUCCAGCAUUGAGGAAAGAAUAUUACUGGCUUUUAAAUCAAGCAGUCCUGGAUUCUAAAUCCAACUGUGUUUCUUACUUAGUCAAGUUACUUGGUCCAGUUACUAAAUUUCUCUGAGGGGCAAUAACCUGUAAACUAACACAUAUAUGGCAAUGAACCCAGUGCCUAUGAAAAAAUAGGUACUCUAACAAAGGAUUUAAUUUCUCUAGCACCGAGGUUGCUAAGCAUACCUAUGUGCUCAGUCAACAAUUUCUCUCAAAGAUACAGUCCAAAAAGAUAUAAUCUAAACGAUGUGCCAUUAACAUGCCCUGUUCCACAGUUAUUCAACAAAUAAUUUUCUGAAUGGCUUAUAUGUUCCAGGAAUAAAAUAAUAACAUUUGUACAGCACUUUAAAAGAUAACUAAGUCAAGGUUUCAGGACUGAAGGAGCUCAGGGUCUAGUGGGAAGGCAAACAUGCAAAGCCACAAUUACAAUGCAGUAUUCAAAGUGCUAAAAAUAGAGAUGUGUAUGAGGUGCAGAAGACAGAGAUCAGGCAAAGCUUCCCAGAAGAGAUGAUUAUGCUGGAAUUGAGUCCAAGAGGAUGAACAGGGCUUCACUGAGCACACAAGGGAAGGAUGAGUAUUCCAGGGGGAAUAACAAUGGAGAGCGCAUGAUACAUGCUGACAAUGCCAAGUACAGGAAUCAGGUAUGCUUGGAGGAUGCUGUGGCAGAGGCCUGGUGGAAAAUAAGGCAGGCUGGAAGGAGCCAAAUCACAAAAGGCCUCAAAUGAUACUCCAAAGAGUUUGGACUUUAUUCUUUAAGCACUAGGGAGUCACUGAUUUCUAAGUCAGAAAAUAUCAUGUUUUAAAACAGUUCCUCUAAUGUCAGAGGAAGGAAAGAGUUGUAAGGACAGACACUGGAAGUGGUGAUAAUUAAGAUGCAAGUAUUUUUUUUAAGAAAGGGUCAAGGAAAGCUCUACAGGUUGUAGCUUAGAUGAACUGUGCACAGUAGCUCCACUAACACAAAGGAACCAUACAAGUGGCAGAGCAGAACUGUGAGUAAAGAUUAAGAAAUGUUUAAUUUUGGAGUUCCCGUCGUGACACAGUGGUUAACGAAUCCGACUAGGAACCAUGAGGUUGCAGGUUCGAUACCUGCCCUUGCUCAGUGGGUUAAUGAUCCAGCGUUGCCGUGAGCUGUGGUGUAGGUCACAGACACGGCUCGGAUCCCGCGUUGCUGUUGCUCAGGUGUAGGCUGGCAUCUACAGCUCCAAUUAGACCCCUAGCCCGGGAACCUCCAUAUGUGGUGGGAGCAGCCCAAGAAAUGGCAAAAAGACAAAAAAAAAAAAAAAAAGAAAAAAAAAA